rnacentral:rRNA from 1 species
AACGAACGCUGGCGGCGUGGAUAAGACAUGCAAGUCGAACGGGACAAGUAGCAAUAUUUGUCUAGUGGCGAACGGGUGCGUAACACGUGGGCAACAUGCCUGGAAGAGCGGGAUAGCCCGGGGAAACUCGGAUUAAUACCGCAUGUGACAACGGGGCGGAUUCGCCCUGUUUUCAAAGGUGGGGACCGCAAGGCCUGCCGCUUCCAGAUUGGCCCGCGUCCUAUCAGCUAGUUGGCGGGGUAACGGCCCACCAAGGCGACGACGGGUAGCUGGUCUGAGAGGACGACCAGCCACACUGGAACUGAGACACGGUCCAGACACCUACGGGUGGCAGCAGUCGAGAAUCUUUCACAAUGGGGGAAACCCUGAUGGAGCGACGCCGCGUGGAGGAUGACGGUCUUCGGAUUGUAAACUCCUGUCAUGAAAGAACAAGCGGAGCGGGUGAACAGCCCGCCGAGUUGAUAGUAUUUCAAGAGGAAGGGACGGCUAACUUCGUGCCAGCCGCCGCGGUAACAC